CCCAGUGACACGGGGUGCCGCUGCACGUUCCCACGACCCACCGGGCCGGGGACUCCGGAUGCAAUGGCUGAGAUGACACCCGUCGAACCUGUCCAGUUAGUACUGGCGAAGGGAUGUCACGGUGGCACCGC
rnacentral:ncRNA from 1 species